AAAGCGUCUGAAUUUUUUUGAAAACCUGACCCGAGAGUAUGCCAGAUCUGCCACAAAUACAGGAAAUCCACUGUUCACACGGACAGAGUCUCCCUUGUAUUUGUACGGCGUCGCACAAGUACAAGAAGUCAUCCAGGCACAACCACAACAAAUGAACAUACAAAUAACCAACCGUUAUAUAUAUUCAUACACCAUUCACCAUAGAUUCACAUUUAUGCAUAAAUCCACACCUAUCAGUUAAAAUGUUUCCAACCACAGAAACAGGUUUUGAAAUACUAAGAUGCAAAAUCCACAGAAAACCUUUUGAAAACUGUUUCCUACACGAAAACCUUUAUUCUUUAAAAACGCUACCACCAGGGGGAGAAAACCUUUUAUUUUACAAAAUCCAGAAAUCCGUUUAUUACAUUCACGAAAAUCCAUAUUUUCAAAUGUAAUAAAAAUACUGAACCAUAUAACUAUUUAAGCUAUAACAACUAAAAUAAUAAGGGUAAUAACUAUACCGAAAUAACCUGGGUCGGAAGCUCUAUCGACCGCUACACACGUACCUCACGUCUCGUCCUACUACUCAUCGCCCACGAUACCUAAAAAAAAAAUGGUGGGGGAGGUGAGAACAUGUAAACAUGUCUCCCCUCCCAGUGGGUACCGCAAGCCGAAGAAGGCGAGGAGUACUCACCGGAUCAGGAAGAGCUAUAUAACAAUACGGGUCAGUGGGAAUACAGUAGGAACAAUAGUAAACGAAAGAGAUGUAUAAGGUAAUGAGCAGAUAUACUAAAUACAGUAGCAAUAAUAAUACAUGAACAGAAUGUAUAAGAACGACUACCGCUACUGUAAGAAGAAUAUAAAACAUACCUGGGUAUCAAACUAUAGUAGCAAGACAAGUAUAUAGAAAGAACUGUAAGUAUGCAUGCAAUAACUGCUACUAUAGGCGUAUGCGUCAACGGGACAAUCAGUCCAAAAGUACCCAAUCUAAAACCAAUGCUCUCUUGGUCAGCACCGCAGACCUCAAGCCAAUGCCACUACUACUCUCCAGUGCAUAUAACCCCUCUAGGGCUCACGGGUUGUCACCAUUCACCCACUUUUUCGGAAAAGAACACUCCUUGCGGUGGAUCAAACCGCCAGUGUUCGUGAAAUGCGACGAGUAUCGGGCGAUCAAUGCAAUAUGCUCAAUGAUCAACCGUCGGCAACCAGCCGGCAAUCCUGCCCCCCACGGCCCAUCGACCGCAUGUCAUCAACUGUAAGGAAGCACAAUAACCGACCACUCAGGUCAACUAGGAUGGGACAACAUCGACAUCCUCUCAAACAUAUGAAAAUACUGCUCAAUGAACCACAAGGACUGACCACUCAGAUCAACUAGGAUAUGAAACUCGACCAAUCAUGUCACAAGUAUAGGAUAUGAAACUCGACCAAUCAUGUCACAAGUAUAGGAUAUGAAACUCGACCAAUCAUGUCACAAGUAUAGGAUAUGAUGCACUGACCGACUAGGUCACAAACAUGUCAAAUAGUGAAUAUGAGUAAAGUAUAAUCAUCCGUCGGCAACUAACCGACAAUCCUACCCCUCAGGGUAUACCGACCUCAACGGUCAUCAGACAACAAAGGUCGAGGAACUCACUGAAUAGGUCACAAAUACUGAAUACUAGAAUCGACCGACUAGAUCGCUGAUCUCACAGAUAAUCACGGAAUCGCUCUACUAUAAACACGAAUUAGGGUAUGGAGAAUAGCUAAGUAGAGCAACAAGGAAACAUGGUAUCACAUACAGAUAGACUAUACUCCUACACAUGAUACUAAGCAUGGAAACGUCUGAGUAGAGUAAAAUCAAACAACGUGGGUGUAAUAUAAACAAUAGAGGUGCAAAGCUCAACAUAUAAUAUAUGCAUGGGUAAUAACAAAAGAGCAAGGGUAAGAAACCAUCACCGAGCGUGCACCACUGUACCAACGUCGGAUCGAAGUACCCACCUGUACAACUGUCGCACCUGUCUCCUGACUGCAAAAGAACAUCAACAGGACCUAAGGAGGGUCCACUGGGUUAGUGUCUAACCCACAACUAAGAAACCCUAAAAGCAUAACCCCAUAAAUAAACCAUUGAAUACACAACCCACAAAAAUCCCACGGAGAUCGGUUUCCCAAAACCGAUUACCGAACAAAACGGAAGUCCCAAAAACCGCACCGAGACUCUGCUGGGACCCACGGACUGUCCCGGAACUCACCGACUCGUACUACGAGUCACCCGCUGCCACUAAAUACAAUUUACAUGUGACUUGGCAGCAAAGACCUUAACUCACUCCAAAACGAUUAUCGUCGGAUAAUCGUUCCGAACCGGGUUCCCGGAAGUGUCUAUUUCGACACCGGAACUAGGGGUGUAAAACGGGCCAGGCGGCACGUGGGCCGCCCGGCCCGGCACGGCCUCGGGCCGGGCUACAGCACGGCACGGAUACUGUAGCAUCCGUGCCGGGCCGGCCCGGCCCGAGCCUUCGGGUCGUGCUGGGCCGCUCAUAUGUAGCCCGACGGCCCGGCACGGCACGGCCCGAUACGGGCCUGGGCCGUGCCGGGCCGAGGGGAGGCGGGCGGCCCGGCACGGCACGGCCCGUUUGGGCCGUGCCAGCCGAGCCAGCACGGCCCGGGCCCUCAAGGCCCGAGGCAAAUGCUUUGGGCCUUGAGGCCUAAGCUCCUGGGGAGGAAGGAAGGAAGGAAGUCCUCCUCCUCCCCAGGAACUCUCCUCCCAAGGUCCAACCUUGGGAGGAGAGGCGCCCAUGGCACCUCCCGCAGCAGCUCCGCCCACGGCCCCGACGCCGAACCCCUGUCGCCCCCGCUCCGGCACCGGCCCCCAAAUCCAAGGCCCCACCCGUCCGGCCGUCCCCCUCCGCCUCCCCGACCUCCUCCCCCCGGCUCCCCCGACCUCCUCCUCGGCCACCUCUUCCGAGAUCCCCUCCACCGAGACCCCCUCCUCCCCGGAAAGCCCACGGCCCUCGGAAAACCCCGCGCCUCCGUUAAUUUUUUUUUUUAAAAAAUAAUACAAAUUUAUUUUUUUUAAAAAUAAAUAAAUAAAUAUUUACUACAUUAUAAUUAUUUUUAUAAAUUUUUAAAUAAUUUAAUCAAAUUUAAACUAAAAUUUUAAAAUAAUUUUAAAACAUAACUAUUUUAAUAGGCCGGCCCGAAGCACGGCCCGGCCCGGCACGGCCCGUGCCUUCCGGGCCAGAGGCUAGGCAGUUUGGGCCCGGCACGGCACGGCCCGAAAUUGAAGGCGGGCCGGGCCGUGCCAGCCACUAGCCCGUUUCGGCCCGAAAAAUGUGGGCCGUGCCGGCCCGGCACGGCCCACAUUACACCCCUAACCGGAACCCACCGUCGCUCACUCGUCAUUUUCGAACCCUCGAAAUAACACGGGUGACCAGCCAACUAGGCUCAGCGACACAAUAAAUCAUCCCGAGACACCGUCGGAAUAAUUCCGAACCGAAACCGCGUUCCGUCGGCGAAUUUUGCCGACAAACGCACCGGAAUGCCCUUUUCGAUCUUCGCAAUGGUCCGGGGCCUUGGACAAUCAGUCCAGAGGUCACCCACAACUCAUCCAUGCUACCAACAGCAGCCGCGACGAACAAAGUUGCAUAAAAACCCUUCCGAAUACUCGAAAUCGCAUUAUUUCAUGCGAUUUCGGCGCUUUUAUGGUCCGUCCAUGCAAACCAGAGGUCAAUCAGCCGAGCCAAGAUACCCACUGACAGGUUUCGACGUGCCGCAGGCCGUGCUCACCUUUCGGAGCAAUUUUGGCCACUGUAGAGAGUGCGGGGGUGACGCGAAAGUCUGCGAACAGCGCGCACAGCAUGAAAAGCAUGCUUAUCUCGCUAACCAGGGGCUCUCUGACCCUAAUUGAGGUGAGAACUGUGAUCAGCACUGACUGAUGAUCACCGUGCUCACUUCCGGAGGCAUCGGAACAGCCUCGGGUCGCCGGAACACUAUACACAAUCCCAAACAGUGCACAAUAAUAGCAAUACAAGCUUACCGGAGCUAGGCAGGGCUCGGGGUGGCCGGCGGCGGCCGGACGGCGGGCAGGCCGGCCAAGGGAAGGUGCUCCAGGUCAGAGGAGGUCGGGGCUCGCGUCAACAGGCGACGGGAGGCGGCGACGACGGCGGGCAACUAUGCCCUAGUUGCACAACCCGAGGAGAGCAUGGGCUCACCACGGUUGACAGGGAGCUCCGGCAGCGGGUUAGCCGGCGGUGGACGGGUGCGGCCGGCCAGGCGGAGUCGGUGCUCACGCCGGACGGCGGCGGCGCCGGUGCUGGAUGUGGCUCGGUCUACACAAAGCCCAACCGGGCUGAGCCGAACAAGACGGCGGCGCUGGCGGCCGGGAGAGGUCGGGGGUGCACAGGGGCGACGGCGGUGGUUCGCCGGAGGCCGAGGGAAGGCGGCGCAGCGGAUCUGGAGUGGCGGCGGCGCGCGGGCCUCGAGCCCAACGUGCUCGGUCUGGGUUGACCGAGGGUGGCCGCUGGGAGCAGGGGCAGCGCCGGCGGCGCGUGCGGGCGGUGACGGCCGACGGCGAUGGCGACGGGGAGUUCCAGGAGGGUGGCGCUUCCAAUCCUGAGUGGCAGCAGGGCGAGGAGGAGGAGAUCCCACCACCUCGGCCAGAUCGGCUCAGAUCUGGCCGCAACUGGCCAGGGUGGUGGUGGCGGCGCUCGGGGGCGGCCGGGACGGCGGCGGCCGACGGCGAUGAUGUUGGAGAAUGGUCUCGGCCAGAGGGUGGAGUCCGAGGGUGUGGGUUCACCCUGGUAGCAGCACAAGUGGGGGGUGAAGGGUGGUGAAGCAAGGAACAAUGGAGAGGUGGAGGAGCAGCCAGCUCCGGCGGCCGGCGGCGUGCUCUGGUAGCCGGAGCGCGCGCGGGGAGAGCAGGGGAACGUGAGGGAGGCGAUUAAGGAAGAGGAGGGGACCCAGGAUUAGGGUUUCAUGGUGACCUAACUCUAUGAUAUAUGUACAAUUACAGAAAAACCCACCUCAGCCCUAUUUUUAUAAUUUAGUCCCUGCCAUUGCGCGUAACUUGCGCAUACGCACCACCACGCUCGAUCUCAAGCGAUUCGGUACAUAAAAUACAAUGACUUUUGCGAAGUUUCCGAUUUGCCACCUUCGACCCCUCAGUGAACAUUUCGCGUUUCCCGAAAAUUCGUCCGUUGGAUUUUCGAUCCGAUAGUGCCAUCGCGUUCAGCACGACGGGGGCAUCGAAACUACGAUUUCGUUUCAUCCGAUUUGCUUGCCGAUUUGCGACAAAAUCUGACCUCUCUCCAAAUAACCUAUAUAUCAUACAUAGGCCUUGGUGGAAACCCGAAAUCCUUUAAUUCAAACUCGUAUUUGAAUUCCCUGCCACCAGUAGGUACUUGAAACAUCUCUCACCCAUCUCCAGAUCACUUGUACAAAUCACGAGGAGUUUUAAAAUGCACGAAUAGCAAAGAGCGGAAACCCUCUUUUUGUUAAAACUCCUUUUUCGACACUUUAGACAUAAAGAAAUUUUCGAGGUCUUUGGAAUACACCACCCACCUUAGAUGGUUACAAGGAUGCUACGGUGAAUUUCUUGAAAUUUUUGAAGCCCUAAUCCGCGUACUGCGGCUAUCUGUAUAGAAAAUGACGUUUUUGUCAAUAACUUUGCGUACACUCGUCGGAUUGUCGAACCGAGCGUUCCAACGCAUUUAAAAUACCCUCAAUUUGGUUUCUACAUGAUCAAAAUAGAUCAAAACCUAACUUGGGCAAAAUCCCUCUUUGGGAUGCCCUAACAUGUCAUUUUUUUUACAUUUCUCCUAGAUUGAUCUCAUUGCUAAGUAAAAGAAAGCUUAGUAUCAUCUAGGAAGCAUUCUAAUAAGAUUUUCAAGCUUCUAGAUCCAUCCCUAGGGCAUCUACUUUGAGCCCUAGUGAUCCAUCAUGAGAGCACCUCAAGAAAACCAUGGAUUUCAUGGAUUCAAGGCUCUUAGAGGGUUUCUAGGUUAAUUAGAGGAUCAAAUCUCUAAAUCCCAAGGUUUAAAACCAAACCCUAGAGUUCUAUGAGCAAAAGAACUUACCUUUGCCACGAGCUCACCCAAGUCCACCUUGUUGGAGAGCCACAAGAUCCUCUCAAGCCUCCAAAACCACCUCUUCAAGCUUCUUCUCAACCUUCUCCACCAAACCCUGGAGUUCUAGAGAGAGAAAAGAGAGAAAAUGAGAGAGAGGUGUGUGUGUGGGUCUGCUAUGAAGGGGAGAAGGGAUGGGUAUAACACAUGUUGCAACAAUAGCAACUAGACCCUCCACCUUUCUAACCUGCUGCAGUUCACUCCCUGCUGACAGAGGCUUCGCGUACCGGUACACGGUUUGGUAUCACCGGUACACGACCUGCGCAGAGGCAAACCCAAGAGCAUACUCGGCUCGGGUUGCUUGCUGUACCGGUACAGCCAUCAUGGCGUACUGGUACACAAUUCUCCAGAGUGCUGUUUUGCAUCGUUUCGUCUCUACUUCGCGCCGUUCGAUGCCAAACUCAUUCUAAUACCUCUUUAACUUAUUUUUACCAUU
rnacentral:lncRNA from 1 species